ACUAACGGUCUUACUAAUAAACAUUUAUACAAGCUGUAUACACGCUGUAUACACGUGUUAUAGCAUAUUCAUUACUAAUAAUCAAUGUAUAGGGGUUGUCAUCUUAUACACCCGUUAUAACAGUUGUAUAGUGUAUGUCAUUUUACACAAUCCUUAUUCAGUCAAAUAAGCUUGUUUAGCGUGUGAAUAACCAACAAAUAACUUAUUGUCGUGGUUUAUCUCGUAAUAUAUUUUAAUUUAGUGGUUAUGAUGGAUUAUUCGAAUAUCUGCGCCAUUUUAAUAUUCUUGAGUUGGACAAUGAGGAACGACCAAGAAAGACAAAACCUUAUAAAACACGUAUUGAUUUCUUUUCUUUCGAAAAAGAUGAAUGUAAACGUAAAUACAGGUUUACUAAGAGAUAUGUCAGAGAAGUGGUGGACUUGAUCCGAGAAGACAUAGAACAAACAAAGAAGGUUGGCUGGCGGCUUCUUUGUGGAGCUUCAAGUUUGUGUAGCUCUCAGGGUAUGGGCGCAGUAAGAAGUACAAGACGAUGCAACCAACAUACAUGGCAAGAGUCAAAAAUUAAACAUUUACUUCCUCUUGCUGUACUGUAAAUUCUUUAAAUGUUUGAAACUGGUAAUCAGCCACCAUUUCAUCAACAACAGAGUCAGGCAUCAUACGAUAUUACUGGACAAAUUGCAAGACAAUUGUUUAUAAGAACACAGUUUUAACAAACAUUUCCUUAAAAUAAAAGAACAAGUUUAUACUGAGAA